GCGUGUUUGCACUCACGUUGGGGGGGGUGUGCAUGUGUUGGGCUGCCUCAUGCCUUUGCUCAACAGAUGCUGAACAGGCCCAGCACGUAAGAAUGUAGCAGGGAACAAGGAGGUGGAACCUGCCUCAGGCCUCUCAGGCUGUGGGGGAGGCAAACCAGAUGUUACCGGGGAUGCACAGGCAGACACAGGAGCCCACUGAUGGGCCCCGGCCCGGGGAAUCGCAACAGAAGCUGAAGGCAGGGAAUGAUCGCAGCGGCCUACAGAUGGGACUCCCGGCCCCCAGCCUUGCGCCUGUCAAUCUGCUCUCCACACCAUAGUCAGAGGCAUGGUCCUAAAAUGCAAAUGUGAUUGCCUGUUCCUAAUGAGGAGGGCGGGCUAGAGGAGUACUUCUCGCAGCUUGGCCCCUGGACCAGUGGCAGCAACGACAUCUGGGAACGUGCUAGAAAUGAAAACUCUCUGACCCCACUGGAGACCUGCUGUAUCGCACGCGCCGGGUGGACCCAGCAGUCUGUCUGGACGCAGCCUCCGGGGGAUUCUGAUGCUGCUCAAGUGUGAGAACCGCUGGGCUGGCUGCCCUCAUCCCAGGUCUCUCCCCAGGCUUACUUCCACCUGUCGGGCACCCGCUGCCUAGGCACAGGUGAAUGAGGUGUGGCGUCAACACUGAAACGUCACCUCCGCUCCCUGGACGGCUACCUCCCACUUGUCCCUUAACGCCAGCUCCGAUGACAUCUCCUGCGGAAAUGGUCCCAGACGGCCCUCCCGCCAGCUCCUCAGACAGAGGGAGUCAGGUGCCCUCUGCUCCCCCCGCACCUGCUCCUCCGGUGUGGCCGCCGUGGACAGCACAUUCCCUCGUUUGUAGGUCAGUCUCUCCCGCCGAAUGGUGGGACCAAAGGGGAGGGGCUGGGCUGGUCCCUCCUUGGUCCCCACAGCACCACGGGCUGUACUGCCCAGGCUCUCAAGGCCCCACUGAGCAGCCAUCCCCUCCGAGAAGCCGCCAGGGGCCCACCACGCCCACGGCCGCAUCCCGGAGCUUUCCUUUGGCAAAUGUUGCAAGUUGGAGGCCCCUCUACCCCCGGCCUGGGGACCUGACACACACACAGCCCGGUUCUCCCUCUUAGAAGGUCUGAAGAUGCAAUACACAGAGGGGUCGUGCCCUGGCCUUGGGGACACACAGAGAGAAGGCAGAGCACAGCAGCCACGAGGCAGCCGCAGCCACCAUGAAGUUGUGUGUGUGUGUGUGUGUGUGUGUGUGUGUGUGUGUGUGUGUCUGUAUGUGUGUUUCUGUGUGUGUGUGUGUAGAGGGAGGAGCUGACCUUCCCCUCUGUGUCUCGUGGGAGCUGCCAAGGCCCCCGCCACCACCCAGGUCCACUCACAGGACUCACACGUGCUCUUAGCGCCUGUUUUCCAGGAGGAGAUGGUUGGGAGAAAGACGCACUGGACGUGGGUCUGAGAGAUGGAGCCUGGCUCCACCUGUGCCAGCCAGGGCUGCUUCACCUUUCUAGUUCUCAGUUACUACCCCAUUUUACAGAUGAAGAAACUGAGGGUGUUAGGAGUGACGGAUACCUGCUGUCAGGUUGGUGGAUCAAUCAUCCAACGGGGGGAGGGGUCGGUGAUUCAUUAAUCCAUCCACUAAUCAAUC